rnacentral:lncRNA from 1 species
GUUAGGUGGCAGAAACCAGUUAUUUUACAAUAAAUCUUUAGAAUUUCAUGGAUUUAUGAUUUUAUUUUCUUGAAAAUUCAUUCAAGCUUAUAUACAAAUAAAAUGUAUGGUUUCAAGGAACUAAGAUGUGUGCGUGCUUAUGUAAAUAUAUAGAAAACCUUUAAAUUUGGGUGUCUGUCCAGCAUGGAGAUUUAAAAAUUUAUAAAUGCAUUGCAAAUAAGGCAAAAAAUGUGAUGAUCUGAUACCAAUCUAAUCCUCACCUGCAGAAUCCUGCUAAAAGCCGACAAGAAUUUUAGCCAAAAUUCAAGAGAGAAAGGAUAUUCAGUGAAUUAGAGCCUUGUCCGAACCUAUCCUUACCAUCAAAAUCUCAA